ensembl:lncRNA
CUGUUAUACAAACGAUUAUCUGAGUAAAUGGCUUGUGAAUCCUCAUGGCAAGUUCUCCCAGCGCAAUGAGACUCUGUAACAGGAAGUUCAGACAACAACACAUUCAUGUGUGAACACGUUACCAAGUUCUCAUGCAAACAUUCUUUUCUUGCCCUUCAAACAAGACACACAGGCAGGUAGGGCUGCAACAAACUAUUUAAACUAACACGCCUUUUAUUGCUGUCAUAUAAUACAUCUGUUUGGGGGGUUUUUAACUACAUGAAACACACAUAAAGUUAAAACCUUUCUUUUUUGUCUAUUACAUGUUGGCUUUGGCACAUAUUGGUAAAUGGCCUGCAUUUGUAUAGCGCUUUACUCAGUCCCUAAGGACCCCAAAGCGCUUUACACUACAUUCAGUCAUUCACCCAUUCACACACUGGCAAUGGCAAGAUACGUUGUAGCCACAGCUGCCCUGGGCGCACUGACAGACACGUGGCUGCCGGACACUGGUGCCACCGGGCCCUCUGUCCACCACCAGUAGGUAAACAUGGGGUAAGUAUCUUGCCCAAGGAUAUUUGGCAUGCAGCCAGGAGGCAGCGUGGGAUCAAACCACCGAUCUUCUGAUUUCUCUUUCACUGACUUGUGAACACUGUUUGUGAUCUGCCUUGUUUCUCUGUUCAUUUGUCAUUUGCCUGACAGUUAAAGGCAACCUGAGCUCGUCUCACAGCUUCCUUUGUGUCUCUGUAGGUUUCAUUUCUAACUAGUCACGAUGCCAGAGAGCGAUAGACCUCAACACACUUGGAUACCUCGAGUAAUAAGGUGUAUCUAUGGGAUUUUUCUCAUCAUGUUUAUUGUUGAGGGGAUUGUUGGAUGUGUGUACUUUAAUGACUGUCCAAGGGCGCCCUCCAUUCCCGUCAUUCUGGUUUUUUGUGGAUUCAUACCUGUCUUGUGGGGAUUGAGCCGGUUUUUGAACAGGUGCAAUAUUUUCUUCGACUGUCUGUUCCUCUACCUCUUUUUUGCCUGGUUCAUCAUCGGUAGCAUAAUCGUCUACUCCAUCUAUGAACCCGACUACAACAAGAACGCUACAGAAACCGAUCACUACUGCAACAAGACGCUCUACCUGUCUGCAUUUUGUUGCAUCACCCUGACCUACGUCCUGACAGGUGUUUAUGUUUUCACUUAUUUUUUUGCUCUCUGCACCAACCAGAUGGUUUACGAUGAUGAGGAUCGGCCACUGCUGUGGAGCUAAUCAUAUGAAUGUGUGUACGUUUGUGUGUUCCCCAACUCCUCUUAGACCAGUGGACCAAUACUGAUGAAACAGAUUAAAAUGGUUUCACAAUAAUAUAUAUCAUAUCAAAUAUAUCAAACUAUAAUGGACAUAUACUAAUAAUAAUAAUGAUGCUGGCUGUAAUAAAAUCACAAGCAAACAACAAACCAAAUAUUAUACAAAUAUUUUCAUGUGUGCUUAUAUACAGAACAUAAUACAUUUAAUGUUGGUUAAUACAGCAACAUGCAGUUUUUGAUCUUUUGUUAGAGAAAUCUUACUAUUAACAAGUCAUACAGAUGACUCAUCAUAGCAGAAUAAAUGAUCAUGAUCUUCCCUGUUUAACAAACGAAUAUAUUUUGUUUUAUUAAAUGUGUGAUUUUAUUUAUUUUCCAAUAUCCAUGCUGUUUCUUUCUUCUUCUUCUUCUUUUUAAUUGUAAGUAAAUAAAUAAAUAAAAUGGGUUAGGACAACAGGACAACCUGUUGUUGAUUGGUUCUUGUUGUUUUGAGACAGCAGCUUUGAUCAUUGAUGUGUGGUGUAGAUUUAAGCUGCUUCAAACUUCUCUUGUACCUCCGCUAGUUUGUAAGUUAACACCAGAGCACUAUUACAUUACAAACACCCCUUUUUUAUUUUAUUUUAUUUUAUUUUAUUUUAUUUUAUUUUUGCUUUGCUCUAUGCUCUAUGAGAAAACACACUUCUACCCUGUGGGGCAAGGAAUCGCCUGCAGUAAUAUUUGAGGCCACUAGAUGUCCCCCUAAUGCCUCUACAUCAUGCAGUAAAUAAUUGUUAUGACUGAAUCUCGAAUAACAAAUUUUCUCAACAUUAUUCAUUUUCUUUGCAUUAUUAAUAUAUAUCCUAUUUUGCCUUUUGACAUGAUUUUUUUUCUACACUCAACCAUCAGUGAAAUUAAAUUAUUAAAAAUAAAAGAGAGUGGUGUUGGAACUGAGAACAGGGCGUGUAUUUCACAAGAAGCAGAAAGACCUCGUCCGGCACAGGAAGUGCACUUAUACUCUGUCUACAACAAUGUUUAUGCGAAUACGAGGGGAGGCUGAUGGAAACCUCUUCUGGGAGUAAAACUGUCAGUUAGAAAAGAAGAACCAUGGCCUACUCUCAUAAGAUUCUGGGGUUUUCUUCAACAGAGGUGUUUACGUUUGUGCUCUGAUCUGUGAACACAAAAGAGACCUUCGGAAAACUGAAAACUAACACUGGAAAAAGGAUACAGUGAAUUUUCUGCAAACCCUGAGCUUUACCCCACAUUUCCUUAAAUAUACAAAAAC